GGCGCGGUUCGCCGGUUGCGGAGACAGGCCUGCAAAGCCUGGCCGAGCGAGUUCGACUCUCGCCCGCGUCU
rnacentral:tRNA from 1 species